rnacentral:tRNA from 1 species
GCGCGGGUGGCUCAGUCGGUUAAGCAUCUGACUUCGGCUCAGGUCAUGAUCUCACGGUUUGUGAGUUCAAGCCCCACAUCGGGCU